GAUGAACGCUGGCGGCGUGCCUCAAACAUGCAAGUCGAGCGAGGCUAUGAGUUACCGCAAGGUAAGGCAUAGCCUAGCGGCGAACGGGUGAGUAACACGUGGGUAACCUACCUGGAAGACAGGGAUAACGAUUCGAAAGGGUCGCUAAUACCUGAUAAUAUCCAUCUGCCGGAUGGCGGAGGGAAGAAAGGGGAAACCCGCUUUCAGAUGGGCCCGCGUCCCAUCAGCUAGUUGGUAAGGUAAAGGCUUACCAAGGCGACGACGGGUAGCCGGUCUGAGAGGAUGUACGGCCACACUGGGACUGAGAUACGGCCCAUACACCUACGGGUGGCAGCAGUGAGGAAUCGUGCGCAAUGGACGAAAGUCUGACGCCGCGACGCCGCGUGAAGGAAGAAGCUUCUCGGAGUGUAAACUUCUUUUCCAUAGGACGAUUAUGACGGUACUAUGGGAAUAAGCCACGGCUAACUUCGUG
rnacentral:rRNA from 1 species